CAGUCGAACGAUGAACCCGCUUGCGGGGGAUUAGUGGCGAACGGGUGAGUAACACGUGAGUAACCUGCCCUUAACUCUGGGAUAAGCCUUGGAAACGGGGUCUAAUACUGGAUAUUGACUUUACCUCGCAUGGGGUUUUGUUGAAAGAUUUAUUGGUUUUGGAUGGACUCGCGGCCUAUCAGCUUGUUGGUGAGGUAAUGGCUCACCAAGGCGACGACGGGUAGCCGGCCUGAGAGGGUGACCGGCCACACUGGGACUGAGACACGGCCCAGACUCCUACGGGAGGCAGCAGUGGGGAAUAUUGCACAAUGGGCGAAAGCCUGAUGCAGCGACGCCGCGUGAGGGAUGACGGCCUUCGGGUUGUAAACCUCUUUCAGUAGGGAACAAGGCCAGCAUUUUUGUUGGUUGAGGGUACUUGCAGAAGAAGCGCCGGCUAACUACGUGCCAGCAGCCGCGGUAAUACGUAGGGCGCAAGCGUUAUCCGGAAUUAUUGGGCGUAAAGAGCUCGUAGGCGGUUUGUCGCGUCUGCCGUGAAAGUCCGGGGCUCAACUCCGGAUCUGCGGUGGGUACGGGCAGACUAGAGUGAUGUAGGGGAGACUGGAAUUCCUGGUGUAGCGGUGAAAUGCGCAGAUAUCAGGAGGAACACCGAUGGCGAAGGCAGGUCUCUGGGCAUUAACUGACGCUGAGGAGCGAAAGCAUGGGGAGCGAACAGGAUUAGAUACCCUGGUAGUCCAUGCCGUAAACGUUGGGCACUAGGUGUGGGGGACAUU
rnacentral:rRNA from 1 species